ACCUACCUUUUGCUUGCCUGGCUUCCCUCUUGCCAUUGAGUUAAUCUGUCCCAUUGCUGCUGCUGAUUCCUAUGCUAAUGUUAGGACCAAUGUGCCCAGGUUUUCUUUGGGACUAGGGACCAGCACUUCUCCAGGAACCUUCAGAGCUUCUAGUGCCAGACUGAGACUAAGUGCUGAGUGUUCCAGCCUCAAGGACAGAGUACUUACCAGGUUCUCAGCUUCCAGGUUCAAGAACCAGAUCUGAAAUGGACACCUAGUAGCUUAUCACAGCAAGGAGCUACCUGGAGCAGGUGAGGCAGCAAUGCCAGAAGCCCAAGAUAGACGGGGGAAGCCGAGCAUGGGAUUUGAGGCAAUUCUGAGGCACAAGGGUGGUAAACAUCGCCCAAGAGGCAGAUACCAAAGUCUGACUUCAAGAGCUGGCCCCGGGGAGUCCUGAUGUCAUAGGGUGGCUGCUCCUUGCGAUGCCUACCCUGUACACAUCCUGACUGCCAAAGGUUUGGUUUUAUAUAAACCUUCAGGUGUAUCUUGAUCUUGGCAGAAAAGGUAUAUCUACAGUAUGACCUUUUUGCAGCCCAAGCUUGUCCCCUCCACAUUAGAACAGGCAUUCCUUCACAGCGUGAUGGCAGCUGUGAACACUGCAUUGCUUUCUGUAUCAGGUGACCUUAGAGAAGAAACGCAGACCAGUCCAGGCGAGGUUUAGUCUUGGGAGCCAUUGUUACUAACAGAACAAGCCCAGUAAACACGAACCCAUGCUUCAGGGUAUACAUGUGUGUGGUAUCUGCACACUGCUGAGUGAGUGUUCAGGACAAAAAAAUGGUUUAGGACGUAAGAGGCAGAUUGUGGUGUGGUGUGGCUUACAGGGGUCAGCCCAGGGUGCUAGGACAGAUUUCUUGGGCCAUGUGUGGAAUUCAAAAGGAGUCAUUUAGAAACAGUGUCUUUUGUAAGUACCAGCUUCUGGAAGCAGGGAGGUGGCCCACCUAUCCCCUCCUGGAAACUGUUUUAGACUGCGGUGCUGGAAUCCUUCAGAGGAAAGAGCCAUAAUCCUGAUAUAGAAUUAUAUGUAUUUUGGUGAGGGAAAUUUGAUAUACAAAAAUAUUUAUGCCUAUGCUUAAAAGAGGCAGGGUUAAGAUAAUGAGUAAGAAAACUUUUCAAGGUACUGUUUGAAAGAAACCACUUGGGAGAUAGCCCAGCACUUCAGCCUUCUGGGCUCUGUUAUCUCCUUAAUUCCCUGCAUUCGUGUUCUAUAGCUUAUCUGUGAAUUUGGUUAACACAUUCCCCAGCCGCUCAAUUGGAUAAGAUAAGGCAGAAGAUGUUAAUAGAGAACCCUCCAUCUUUCCCCACUGAGAGCGAUUUCAGGAUUCAUUGACUUGCUAAACCCUGUCUUCCCCUGUCUCAAAUUUGGCUUAUCAGUGCAGAAGGUAAUCUUCCACCAGGGGUCCAGUGACUGCCCACAAAGGGCGUGCCGUGGACAGCCUGUGGUCUCCAGGGACUUGCAGAGAGAGGGACCACUUGGGUACCGAGGGCUUGUCAGACAUUUGCUGUUCUGUUUGACCCUCACUAUCUGGCUCUAAGGACCCAGGUCAGAGAGUGGGUAUGUUUUCUACUCACCUCGGCCUGUGCUGUAAUGUUGAAGCUUAUCACUGUACGCAGCCUCUUUGCUGUAAGCUCGUUUCCUGCAGACACAGAGAACAGGGACUUUCUCAGCAGGGUCAUAUCAAGGGCUCACGCCCAGACAUAGAGCUCACCCUGGGUGUCUCCUGGGACUGGGAACUGGGAGACACCCCACUUGAAGAUUUCAUCUCUGCCUUGCCUUAUACUCUGCUUGACCAGCACACAUUCCCUUGGGCAGAGGAUUCAACUCUCAAAUCAAGGACUUACGGGUACCAGAAAAGGCUGUGGGCAUCUGGCAAGAGGGCAGUGGUGAUGAGGACCCCCAUCUGGAGCAGUGAACGGCAGAACUGCUUAGUGAGAACCAGCAACAGGGCUUUGCCCGUGAUAUCUGGGCUAACCACCCAAGGCAGCAGCAAACAGUAUUAAAAAUUCACAAGGCCUCAGGCCAGUCGGUGUGCAGAGCUCAGCUUCCCCUGCCUCUUCCUCACCCCCUCUUCUGCCCGCCUGCCUUUUGCCUGCUGCCCAGGGCCUGAGCUCUCUAAGCAGAAGACUGCCCGUGCACAGCUGAGAUGCUCCAGUGGGUCAAAUGCAAUUUUGUAACUGUCACUCUGAAAAGUCCUUGUGCAUGAGGGGCUAAAAGUCCUGGCUGAAAUGAGGAUGGCAGACGGACGCUGCUUACUUAUAGUCUUGCCCAGUUCCCAUAACCAGGUUUUAUCCUAGGCACAGAGAAAAAUCAAUAAUCUUGAGAUUUCUAGGUUGCUGGCUACAGGACUUGUCCAGGCUGCCCAGUUUGGGAAGGGCCAGCGUGGGAUAACGGUGCGUGGAGAGGGGCUUCCUGGACUCAGGGAGAGCAGAGUAGAGGACCUACCUGCUGCAGACAAUAGAGAUGGCCACCAGAGACACAACAAAUACGACUCCAGCUGCUGCCGAGCCAGCAAUCAGGGGUAGCUGCUCUCUCAGCUCCGACUUGUAAUCAUCUAGGUGAGAAAGAAGAGGAUUAGAGUCCUCCCACGUGCCCCGUGCACGAGCUGGACUCGAUGCACAACACCAAGGACACCAGAUAUAUGCAUCCGCGUGGACCCCAGCUUCCAAUGCUUCAGAGUGGGGAACAGUCACAGAAACAAAACAUCAGGCAUAACUCUGGGAGCUCAUGAUGGUGACUAUCGUCUCCCUGGAGAUGGUGACUCUGAACCUUCACCCCCCCCCCCCAGCUCUGAAGGUUUCCCCAAGUCCUGUCUGCCCUGUUAAGAGUAAGUCCGAUGGAGGGGAAAUGAAAGCCGUUGCUGAAAGAGCUUAAGCUGUGGAAAUGCAGCUUGUCAACAGACUCAUUGAGCAGAUUUUUACAGUUUAUCUGUAGUCAGCCAGCUCUGCAGCAGGAGCUGUGGAGGAUGAAGAGAUGCCAGAGAAAUCGCCAAGCAUUUCGAGAUCCCACUUGACAAGUAAAGGACUGAGGUUUGUGCCAAGUGUUAAAACCAUGCUGCAUUACGGGUAGGGUGGAACACCCAAGGGUCACAGAGGUGGACAGAGAUGCCACAAUCUCUGGUGUUGCUGGUGUACCGUUUGUGAUCUUGGAGGAAUUAUUUCACCCUUCUGAUUCUCAGCCCUCUUGCCCGUUAAUAAAAGGCCAAACCAUG
rnacentral:lncRNA from 1 species